rnacentral:rRNA from 1 species
AGAGUUUGAUCAUGGCUCAGAGUGAACGCUGGCGGCAGGCCUAAUACAUGCAAGUCGAACGGCAGCACAGCAGAGCUUGCUCUGUGGGUGGCGAGUGGCGGACGGGUGAGGAAUACAUGGGAAUCUGCCCAGUCGUGGGGGAUAACGUAGGGAAACUUACGCUAAUACCGCAUGCGCCCUUCGGGGAAAGCCGGGGACCGUAAGGCCUGGCGCGAUUGGAUGAGCCCAUGUCGGAUUAGCUAGUUGGCGGGGUAAAGGCCCACCAAGGCGACGAUCCGUAGCUGGUCUGAGAGGAUGAUCAGCCACACUGGAACUGAGACACGGUCCAGACUCCUACGGGAGGCAGCAGUAGGGAAUAUUGGACAAUGGGCGCAAGCCUGAUCCAGCCAUGCCGCGUGAGUGAAGAAGGCCCUCGGGUUGUAAAGCUCUUUUGUCCGGAAAGAAAAGCGCCGGGUUAAUACCCUGGUGUCCUGACGGUACCGGAAGAAUAAGCACCGGCUAACUUCGUG